AACCAAGCUAUAUUUACAUUCCCGACUCAACAGCAGGGUUUGGACUUCCCAGUCCAAAUGCAACUUUUACUUCUUGGAGCUGUAGCCCUGUGCCGACCAUUGAUGUGUCACAAGUACCCAAAGGUGGACCAACAUUGGCACAUAGUAGCAGUAGUGAGAGCACUCCGCGGUCAUGGAAACUUGGAGAAAUUUCUGACCAAGGAGAUCAGGGCAUGAGAAACAGAG
rnacentral:misc_RNA from 1 species